AGAGUUUGAUCCUGGCUCAGAUUGAACGCUGGCGGCAUGCCUUACACAUGCAAGUCGAACGGUAACGCGGGGGCAACCCUGGCGACGAGUGGCGAACGGGUGAGUAAUACAUCGGAACAUAUCCAGUAGCGGGGGAUAACCUAUCGAAAGAUUGGCUAAUACCGCAUACGAUCUACGGAUGAAAGCGGGGGACCGCAAGGCCUCGCACUAUUGGAGUGGCCGAUGUCGGAUUAGCUAGUUGGUGGGGUAAAAGCUUACCAAGGCGACGAUCCGUUGCUGGUCUGAGAGGACGAUCAGCCACACUGGAACUGAGACACGGUCCAGACUCCUACGGGAGGCAGCAGUGGGGAAUUUUGGACAAUGGGCGCAAGCCUGAUCCAGCCAUGCCGCGUGAGUGAAGAAGGCCUUCGGGUUGUAAAGCUCUUUCGGUGAAGACGAAACGGUUAGCGUUAAUAGCGCUGACUAAUGACGGUACUCACAGAAGAAGCACCGGCUAACUACGUGCCAGCAGCCGCGGUAAUACGUAGGGUGCAGGCGUUAAUCGGAAUUACUGGGCGUAAAGCGUGCGCAGGCGGUUUGCUAAGACAGGUGUGAAAUCCCCGGGCUUAACCUGGGAAUUGCGCUUGUAACUGGCAGGCUAGAGUGUGGCAGAGGGGGGUGGAAUUCCACGUGUAGCAGUGAAAUGCGUAGAUAUGUGGAGGAACACCGAUGGCGAAGGCAGCCCCCUGGGUUAACACUGACGCUCAGGCACGAAAGCGUGGGGAGCAAACAGGAUUAGAUACCCUGGUAGUCCACGCCCUAAACUAUGUCAACUAGUUGUCGGGGAAGAAAUUCCUUGGUAACGAAGCUAACGCGUGAAGUUGACCGCCUGGGGAGUACGGCCGCAAGGUAAACUCAAAGGAAUUGACGG
rnacentral:rRNA from 1 species